rnacentral:rRNA from 1 species
UUCCAGACUCCUACGGGAGGCAGCAGUGGGGAAUAUUGCACAAUGGGGGAAACCCUGAUGCAGCGACGCCGCGUGAGUGAAGAAGUAUUUCGGUAUGUAAAGCUCUAUCGGCAGGGAAGAAAAUGACGGUACCUGACUAAGAAGCCCCGGCUAACUACGUGCCAGCAGCCGCGGUAAUACGUAGGGGGCCAGCGUUAUCCGGAUUUACUGGGUGUAAAGGGAGCGUAGACGGUGAUGCAAGUCAGAAGUGAAAGCCCGGGGCUCAACUCCGGGACUGCUUUUGAAACUGUGUGACUGGAGUGCAGGAGAGGUAAGUGGAAUUCCUAGUGUAGCGGUGAAAUGCGUAGAUAUUAGGAGGAACACCAGUGGCGAAGGCGGCUUACUGGACUGUAACUGACGUUGAGGCUCGAAAGCGUGGGGAGCAAACAGGAUUAGAUACCCCGGUA